AGAGAGUCAGAGGAAAGUAGAAGUAAAGAGAGAGAAAAGAGUGAGAGAGAGAGAGAUCAAGAGAAAUAAUAAGAGAGCUCCAAGGCACUUGGAAAACAGUCCAAUGAAAACACAGUCAGAUGGACAGAAAACCCUCCAUCUCUCUCUCUCUCUCCGUUGUUCCCUCUUUCCAUCUUUCAACACCUUUUCACAAUCCCCUUAUUUCCUUUGUUUACUUCAUCAAAAAAGUCCUCCUGGCUAUAUGCCCUUUAAAGGGGAGAAAUAAGAGAGAAAGACAAAAAAAGCAACUUUAAGUUCCAGACAAAGAUGCAACAAGCGUGACAUGUUUGACUCUUGUUUCCCUUUUCUUCCUCUUUUUUUUCUCUUUCAAUUUACCCCCAGAGGACGACAACUUGACCUGGAUAUUUUUCACAGAUUCAGAAAACCAAGAAAAAAACUUUCUGGGAUUGACCUUCAUCUGCUGCAGCAGAGCAGAGUGAAAAAGACAAAUAUAAAGAGGACAGGGAGAGGUGAGACACAAGGUUUUAAUGGCAGCAGACAUGCUGGGACAGAAGAAGAAGAAGAAACAAGAGAACGGAUGGAAAACGGAGGGUAGAAAGAGAAGUGGAAGUAACGGACGUGUAGAGAAGGGAAAUGGAGGAAUGGGAAGGAGGGGUGGAGCACCAUAUCCAGCCUCGUUCCGUGUGUGCCGUGUCCGCUUGAACCGCCGCUGGCGGUGUGAAGGGACCAGCUCACACCUGACUGGGG